rnacentral:rRNA from 1 species
AUACAGGGUGACAGCCCCGUACACAAAAGCGCAUGUGCUGUGAGCUCGAUGAGUAGGGCGGGACACGUGGUAUCCUGUCUGAAUAUGGGGGGACCAUCCUCCAAGGCUAAAUACUCCUGACUGACCGAUAGUGAACCAGUACCGUGAGGGAAAGGCGAAAAGAACCCCGGCGAGGGGAGUGAAAAAGAACCUGAAACCGUGUACGUACAAGCAGUGGGAGCCCCACCACCAAAGCAUUCUCUGGUGUUGAAGGCCCUGCAAAGCAGCAUCGCGGUGGCGGAGCGUCGUUUGCGACGCCCAACACACAAAACAAGCGGUGAGUGCUUUGGGGUGGGGUGACUGCGUACCUUUUGUAUAAUGGGUCAGCGACUUAUAUUCUGUAGCAAGGUUAACCGAAUAGGGGAGCCGGAGGGAAACCGAGUCUUAAUUGGGCGUUAAGUUGCAGGGUAUAGACCCGAAACCCGGUGAUCUAGCCAUGGGCAGGUUGAAGGUUGGGUAACACUAACUGGAGGACCGAACCGACUAAUGUUGAAAAAUUAGCGGAUGACCUGUGGCUGGGGGUGAAAGGCCAAUCAAACCGGGAGAUAGCUGGUUCUCCCCGAAAGCUAUUUAGGUAGCGCCUCGUGAAUUCAUCUCCGGGGGUAGAGCACUGUUUCGGCUAGGGGGCCAUCCCGGCUUACCAACCCGAUGCAAACUGCGAAUACCGGAGAAUGUUAUCACGGGAGACACACGGCGGGUGCUAACGUCCGUCGUGAAGAGGGAAACAACCCAGACCGCCAGCUAAGGUCCCAAAGUCAUGGUUAAGUGGGAAACGAUGUGGGAAGGCCCAGACAGCCAGGAUGUUGGCUUAGAAGCAGCCAUCAUUUAAAGAAAGCGUAAUAGCUCACUGGUCGAGUCGGCCUGCGCGGAAGAUGUAACGGGGCUAAACCAU